UGAAGGUCAACAUAGAGAGCAUCUCCGACCCUUCCUUGUGCCGAUGAAGCCACCUCCGAUGAACUUUCUGUAACGCCUUCGGUUUCCAUUUAUUUUCCCGUUUAAUCGGAUCAGUUACAUGUUUCAUUCAACUUCUCCCACUCUGUAGCAUUUAAUCAUUUUCAUACAUAAUCGAUGGGAGAUCUCUUAUAAAAUUGAACGUUACUAGCGAUGAACAGCCCCAUCUCUGUGAAAUCCAUUUCUUUGAGCUCAAGGCUGGCCGAUGCAGGCAGAGAGUUGCCACACGGAUUCUCCGGUUCCGAGGGAAGACUCUGGAACCAUUCGGGUUUUAUCGUCAUCCAUUUUUGCUUAAUUGAUCAUUAAGUUGGCUUUGGUUUAAUUGAAGAAAUGCAAUCUCAACGUUUAUGUUUUUUGGUAGCUAUACUGUGAGAAGGAAAGGCUGUCAGGUGAUCAGUUUGAACAGCUGAAGGCAUUCAUAGACAUUGGUGAUGUUUUGUGUGCUUGUGGCUCAAUGAAGAGAACCGAGAAAGGUUUUUUUUUUUUUUUUUUGCUAAAAGAACCGAGUAAGGUGAACUCAAAUUAAAUGGUUAAUCUCCUUAGAGAAGCAUUGUUUUUAGUUCUGUUUAUUAACUGUCUGUUCUCUGUUUUUUUUUUUUCAUGGGAGCUUUCUAUAUGUGUGAAUUCCAUUUCAAUUGUCACAAAUUCUCUCCUUCCACUGCCUGCCAGACAAGACACGUAUCAUGGUCUAACUGAUAUUGAUAAACGCUACCGACAAAGAUGUGUGGAUAUGAUUGCUAAUCCUGAAGUGCCUAAUGUGUCCAGCAAAAGAAAAAAAAGCUCAUGCGAUCUUCUUGAAGGAUAUGGACAAUUCUGUGAUUGAUAUGGUGAACAAUAUCCAAGUCUGAGAGUGGAGGUGGAAAACAUGGCGAUGGAGUCGUUGCAAAAAGUGCGGGAGGGAAGUAAGAAAGCAACAAUGCAGCUGGUGGACAUAGAGUACAAUACUGUUGAUUUCUUCUUGAAGCUUCUCCAGCUCUAAGAAUACCGACUUUUUUUCUUGGUUGUGGUUGGUACCUGGAGGGACCGACACCGAAGAGAUCUUCAGGUUGUGAUUUUACGAGGUAAUCUACGCUGGAAGACAUCAUACCGUAUCGAUUUUUUAAAACAUCACAAAGUCUUAUCUGCUGAUUCUAUGUU